UGUGUGUUAGUGGAAGCGUCUGGAAAGGCGCGCGAUACAGGGUGACAGCCCCGUACACAAAAAUGCACAUGCUGUGAGCUCGAUGAGUAGGGCGGGACACGUGGUAUCCUGUCUGAAUAUGGGGGGACCAUCCUCCAAGGCUAAAUACUCCUGACUGACCGAUAGUGAACCAGUACCGUGAGGGAAAGGCGAAAAGAACCCCGGCGAGGGGAGUGAAAAAGAACCUGAAACCGUGUACGUACAAGCAGUGGGAGCACGCUUAGGCGUGUGACUGCGUACCUUUUGUAUAAUGGGUCAGCGACUUAUAUUCUGUAGCAAGGUUAACCGAAUAGGGGAGCCGAAGGGAAACCGAGUCUUAACUGGGCGUUAAGUUGCAGGGUAUAGACCCGAAACCCGGUGAUCUAGCCAUGGGCAGGUUGAAGGUUGGGUAACACUAACUGGAGGACCGAACCGACUAAUGUUGAAAAAUUAGCGGAUGACUUGUGGCUGGGGGUGAAAGGCCAAUCAAACCGGGAGAUAGCUGGUUCUCCCCGAAAGCUAUUUAGGUAGCGCCUCGUGAAUUCAUCUCCGGGGGUAGAGCACUGUUUCGGCAAGGGGGUCAUCCCGACUUACCAACCCGAUGCAAACUGCGAAUACCGGAGAAUGUUAUCACGGGAGACACACGGCGGGUGCUAACGUCCGUCGUGAAGAGGGAAACAACCCAGACCGCCAGCUAAGGUCCCAAAGUCAUGGUUAAGUGGGAAACGAUGUGGGAAGGCCCAGACAGCCAGGAUGUUGGCUUAGAAGCAGCCAUCAUUUAAAGAAAGCGUAAUAGCUCACUGGUCGAGUCGGCCUGCGCGGAAGAUGUAACGGGGCUAAACCAUGCACCGAAGCUGCGGCAGCGACGCUUAUGCGUUGUUGGGUAGGGGAGCGUUCUGUAAGCCUGUGAAGGUGUGCUGUGAGGCAUGCUGGAGGUAUCAGAAGUGCGAAUGCUGACAUAAGUAACGAUAAAGCGGGUGAAAAGCCCGCUCGCCGGAAGACCAAGGGUUCCUGUCCAACGUUAAUCGGGGCAGGGUGAGUCGACCCCUAAGGCGAGGCCGAAAGGCGUAGUCGAUGGGAAACAGGUUAAUAUUCCUGUACUUGGUGUUACUGCGAAGGGGGGACGGAGAAGGCUAUGUUGGCCGGGCG
rnacentral:rRNA from 1 species